AGCGUAUGGAUGUAGUUUAGUGGUUAGAAUACUACAUUAUGGCCAUAGAGACCUGGGCUCAAAUCCCUGCUCUGCCA